GGAUGGUUGGCAGAGUGGUUUAAUGCGGCAUCUUGCUAAGGUGCUGACGCUUCGGUGUCCGCGAGUUCAAAUCUCGCACCGUCCG
rnacentral:tRNA from 1 species